GGGGGUUUAGCUCAGUUGGUAGAGCGUUCGCUUAGCACCUUGUCUAAUUUGCGAAAGGUCGCGUGUUCGACUCAUGCAGUCUCCA
rfam:Pseudozyma brasiliensis GHG001 unplaced genomic scaffold PSETBRA_SCAF25, whole genome shotgun sequence.